GAUCUGGUUAAAUGUCUGCUAUUGCUGCGCCAGAAUUUUCCAAACAAUUUGGUUUUCCCAACAUGCAUGUAUUGUAACAGAUUAACAAUAGAGUAGAAACCAGAAAAUGAGCAGGCAUUAUAACAGAUUAAAAUUAGAGUAGAAACCAUGAAAAUGAGCAUACAAAUAAAAGUAACAAGGGAGGAAAAAAAAAAAGGAUUUAAGGAAGGAAAUUAUAGACUAUUUGAAUACUGCAAUCAAAAGCUCCA
rnacentral:lncRNA from 1 species